GAGUUUACAAGGUUAUCGAUGAUUUUUUGCGUAUAAAUGUAUAAUUUUUUUUAUCGCAUCGCGUAGCUGAUGUAAAAAUACGUUCACAUACGUACAUUACAUGACCUUGAAAUGACCUUUGAGUUCAAAAAUUAAAUGGAAACGAAAAAUUGUUGUCUGUCGAGACUUUACAGACGAAGACGUCGUUCGGGAAUCUGUAAGAGUAAAUAAACACGUUUACACUACGAAUGACUUCUGACACCGCAGAAAUCAGAUCAUUUUUAAAGAGUUCGUCAGUUUAUGGAUAUUAUCCUUCGCGAUGAGUUAUUCAAAGCAAGAGAAAUUUGAUAUGAUUCUGAUUUAUGGUAAAAUUGAUCAGUGUUUAAGGCAAGCUGUUCGAUUGUAACGAGCGAAAUUUCUUGAACGCAACUGUCCAUCGCGUAGUACAUAUGGAAAGGUGGUCAAGCAUCUUUUUGAAAGUGGUAGUGUCAAUACGAAGAAGCGUACGCGAACCCAUAAUGUUACAAACCAAUUAGAUACGAGAUUUAUUAUGGAAAAAGUUGCCGAAAAUCCGCAUGUUAGUACACGACAAUUGGAACGGUUACGCAUGGGAUAACGAGUGACAUUAACGAGUGUAAUUACGCAUAUUUAUCUAAGUGAACGCUUUGAAGACACCUAAUUAUAACUAGAGGGGAAUUGUAAACGUGAACAGGAAAACAAAUUGUGUUUAACACACGUGUCCAUAUGGUGGCAUCCCUGAUAAAUAUUUAUGUUUCUUCAAUUAUCGGUGACAUUUGAUAAACCGGUAGUCAGAGAUAAUUUUCAAUAUGUCAAGUACAAAACAUUGUAAACAAAACAUGUAAGUUAAAGAAGAUUAUCGUAAUAAAAAAAUUAACCAUCUUCGAAACGAAAGAAAAAUUAAUAAAUAAUGGAACUUUUUUUCAUUUCUGGAGUUACAGACGUAGCUGCUACGUGUUGAAGAUUUCUUAAUGUACUUUCUCCAGUAAUAUAUUAAUAUAGGAUAUAUACAUACAUAUGUAGAAUUGUACAAUAACCAGAAUUGUAAAUUAAGGUUGUCACAAUAAAGAAUAUAUUAACAUACAUAUGUAGAAUAUAUAUUCUAAUAUACUAGAAAUGCGAACUGGACAUAUCUGAUAAAAAUAAUUGCAAACAAAUGUCACUGACGUAAUUAUUCGAUCGUUUGGUGUUAUCCUCCUUUACGCGGAAGCGUAUCGUAAAGGAAAAGCAUGAUUCAUCCACCCAAUGUACGUCAUCAUUGAUGAACUGGCAUGCUUUUACCACGAAGCUCCCUUUUAUUAAAGUGGACAACAAUGUAGGUCAUCCAUUUGUUGUGUAACGUGUCAUACACGCAAAUAAAACGUUAUCUCACAUCUAA